UUUUAAAAUUCAUAUGGAACCAAAAAAGAGCCUGAAUAGCCAAGACAAUCCUAAGCAAAAAGAACAAAGCUAGAGGCAUCAGAGUACCCAACUUCAAACUAUACUAUAGAGCCACAUCAACCAAACAGCAUGGUACUAGUACAAUGGC